GUAUAAUGAUUGAAGAAUGUGGAG
rnacentral:piRNA from 1 species